rnacentral:rRNA from 1 species
AGAGUUUGAUCCUGGCUCAGGAUGAACGCUGGCGGCGUGCCUAACACAUGCAAGUCGAACGAGGGUCUCUUGUAUUCGUACGAGGGAUUCCUAGUGGCGAACGGGUGAGUAACACGUUGGUGACCUGCCCCGAAGUGGGGGAUAACUCUGGGAAACUAGAGCUAAUACCCCAUGGGCUCCAGGGAGUUAGAGUGCUCUGGAGCAAAGGAGUGAUCCGCUUUGGGAGGGGCCUGCGGCCCAUCAGCUAGUUGGUAGGGUAAUGGCCUACCAAGGCGAUGACGGGUAGGGGACCUGAGAGGGUGGCCCCCCACACUGGCACUGAAACACGGGCCAGACACCUACGGGUGGCAGCAGUGGGGAAUAUUGCACAAUGGGCGAAAGCCUGAUGCAGCAAUGCCGCGUGCGCGAUGAAGGCCUUCGGGUUGUAAAGCGCUUUUCUGGGGGACGAGGAAGGACGGUACCUCAGGAAUAAGUCUCGGCUAACUACGUGCCAGCAGCCGCGGUAAAACGUAGGAGGCAAGCGUUAUCCGGAUUUACUGGGCGUAAAGCGCGUGUAGGCGGCUUGGUAAGUCGGACGUUAAAGCUCCUGGCUCAACUGGGAGAGGCCGUUCGAUACUACUGGGCUUGAGGGCAAUAGAGGGAGGUGGAAUUCCGGGUGUAGCGGUGAAAUGCGUAGAUAUCCGGAGGAACACCAGUGGCGAAGGCGACCUCCUGGAUUGCCCCUGACGCUAAGACGCGAAAGCUAGGGGAGCGAACGGGAUUAGACACCCCGGUAGUCCUAGCUGUAAACGAUGCAGACUUGGUGUUGGUGGUGUAAUAGCCAUCAGUGCCGAAGCUAACGCGUUAAGUCUGCCGCCUGGGGACUACGACCGCAAGGUUAAAACUCAAAGGAAUUGACGGGGGCCCGCACAAGCAGCGGAGCGUGUGGUUUAAUUCGAGGCUACGCGAAGAACCUUACCUGGGUUUGACAUGCACGUAGUAGGAAUCUGAAAAGUGACCGACCCCUCGGGGAGCGUGCACAGGUGCUGCAUGGCUGUCGUCAGCUCGUGUCGUGAGAUGUCCGGUUAAGUCCGGUAACGAGCGCAACCCUUGCCCUGCGUUACAAGUGUCACAGGGGACUGCCGGUAUAAAGCCGGAGGAAGGUGAGGAUGACGUCAAGUCAGCAUGGCCUUUAUGUCCAGGGCUACACACACGCUACAAUGGCCGGUACAGUGGGUUGCUAAGCCGUGAGGCGGAGCCAAUCCUCCAAAGCCGGUCUCAGUUCGGAUUGUAGGCUGCAACUCGCCUACAUGAAGCCGGAGUUGCUAGUAACCGCAGGACAGCUAUACUGCGGUGAAUACGUUCCCGGGCCUUGUACACACCGCCCGUCACGUCAUGGGAGCUGGCAACACCUGAAGUCGGUGACCCAACCGCAAGGAGGGAGCCGCCGAAGGUGGGGCUGGUGACUGGGACGAAGUCGUAACAAGGUA